UUUUUUAAUGGCCGCGGUAUAUUGACCGUGCAAAGGUAGCAUAAUCAUUAGUUUAUUAAUUGUGAACUGGUAUGAAUGGUUUGACGAAAUAUUAACUGUCUCUUAUAUAUAUAUGUUGAAUUUAAAUUUUGAGUUAAAAUGCUUAAAUUUUUUAUAGGACGAGAAGACCCUAUAGAUCUUUAUUAUUCAUUUUAUAUUUUUUUUAGUUUUAUUUAUAUUUAAAUGGAUUUUUUUGUUGGGGUGACAUGGGGAUAAUUAUGUACUUUAACUCCUUAUUUUUUAUUACAAUUAUUUUUGGAUUUUUGAUUUUAUUUUAAUUAUAUAAGAUUAGAUACCUUAGGGAUAACAGCGUAAUUUUUUUUGAGAGUUCAUAUUGACAUUAAAGAUUGCGACCUCGAUGUUGGAUUAAGAUUAAUAUUAGGUGCAGGAGCUUAAUUUAUAGGUCUGUUCGACCUUUAAAUUCUUACAUGAUCUGAGU
rnacentral:rRNA from 1 species